rnacentral:rRNA from 1 species
GAUGAACGCUGGCGGCGCGCCCAACACAUGCAAGUCGAACGAUUAAAGCACCUUCGGGUGUGUAUAAAGUGGCGAACGGCUGAGUAACACGUGGGCAACCUGCCCCUUUCAUUGGGAUAGCCACGGGAAACCGUGGAUAAUACCGAAUACUUCGAGACUUCCGCAUGGAAGACUCGAGAAAGCUCCGGCGGAGAGGGAUGGGCCCGCGGCCUGUUAGCUUGUUGGUGGGGUAACGGCCUACCAAGGCAAUGAUGGGUAGCUGGGUUGAGAGACCGACCAGCCAGAUUGGGACUGAGACACGGCCCAGACUCCUACGGGAGGCAGCAGUGGGGAAUCUUGCACAAUGGGCGAAAGCCUGAUGCAGCGACGCCGCGUGCGGGAUGAAGGCCUUCGGGUUGUAAACCGCUUUCAGCAGGGACGAGGCGAAAGUGACGGUACCUGCAGAAGAAGCCCCGGCUAACUACGUG